AAUGAACGUUGGCGGCGUGGAUUAGGCAUGCAAGUCGUGCGAGAACCGUAGCAAUACGGGGACAGCGGCGAAAGGGAGAGUAACGCGUGGAUACCUACCCCCAGGACCAGGAUAGCCGCGGGAAACUGCGGGUAAUACUGGAUAAUGUCUCCGGACCAAAGGUGUGAUUCCGCCCGGGGAUGGGUCCGCGUCCUAUUAGCUAGUUGGUAGGGUAAUGGCCUACCAAGGCAAAGAUGGGUAUGGGGUGUGAGAGCAUGCCCCCACUCACUGGGACUGAGACACUGCCCAGACACCUACGGGUGGCUGCAGUCGAGGAUCUUCGGCAAUGGGCGCAAGCCUGACCGAGCGACGCCGCGUGCGGGAUGAAGGCCUUCGGGUUGUAAACCGCUGUCAGAGGGGAGGAAAUGCCGUGGGGUUCUCUCCACGGUUUGACCUAUCCUCAGAGGAAGGACGGGCUAAGUUCGUGCCAGCCGCCGCCGUAAAAC
rnacentral:rRNA from 1 species